UUUUUUUUCCAAUGCAGAGGCCCUGCAGUGAGAGGCAAGGAGAAAUAAGGCGACACGGGGAGGGGGGGAAUGGACAGAGAGGGAGGCAAGCAGCAAAACCGUCCUACUCACCUCUCUGAGCUGCUCCAGCUCCAGUUUCAGGACAUCAUAUUCCGCUUCCAGCUCGUCAUACUGCUGCUUCAGGGCAUGUUUCAGCAGAGGAUAUGGUACUGACUGUACUGUUAAAAAUAGAAGCUGAGAUUCAUCCCAAUGGUUUUCUUAGUGGCAUGGACAAGAACACAGUCUACCUAGUUUACCUGGUAUUUCUACAGUCUAGUUACUAUAGAAUAGCAAAGUGCUCCAGACACAGAGGUAAUAUACUAAUUGCUCUGAUUUUUAUAAAACCAGAAUGGAAAAUUAAGAAGCAAUACUCCAUUGAAAUAAAGUGGCGUUUU